CCAAAUGAGGGGUGGAGGGCGAAGGAGGUGUGGUGAGCCCCAGAGGCCCGCGCCCGCCCUCUCGUGCUCCACGCGCCCCAACCCCGGGAUUUCGGCCGGGCUGGGUGAGGUGGGUCGUGGGCGUCGACGCAGUCCUACCCUCUGCUGACUGCGGGCCGGGCCCUGCCCGAGGGCGGGGCGUGGGUCCCGGAGUGAGUUCUCACGCGCUGCUCGCUCCGCGCUGAGCGCUACAGUAGAGGACGCUGACUUCCUCCAAGUUAAGGAAGAGAGAGGAGGCAAAGACGGCACCCAGUGGUCACCUGGACCCCCUACUGUCACUGGGAAACAGGUGAACAGGCCAGGAGAGCAGGUGUGCAGGGGACAGCUGUUGAGAGUUUGAUGCGGAACGAUGGAGAGACCUGGGGACACUCAGGGAUGGUGACAUUGGAGAUAGGCUCCAUUAGCCCUCCUCCAGGAUGAAGCAUGUGCCAGAGACCUGGAGAACCCCGCUGGGGCUGAGCUUUUGAGAAUCUGGGUAUCGUCCAUUCCAUCAGCCCACACACCUCAGGGCCAGGAGCAGAUGCUAGGACGGAAGGCAAAGAGCACAUCGACAUCUGCAAGUUCCUCCAGAGCCUUUGACCUCGAACUUGGAGCAUCACUGUUAGACGUUAGAGGUGAGUUAGAUGUGAGCAGAGGCAUCGUGAACAUGUCGGAGGGACGGUGGGCGGCAUCCCUUCCCCUCCCUUCCUAUUGCGACAGACUCGUUUGGCAGUUUUCUGUCAGAUGUUAAUUCUUGCAAAUGCCCUGUGCCACCCACCGCUGGUGACAAUGGUGACCACUGCCACUGUGGUAGCAGAGGUGACCCUCUCGAAGCUCUUCUCCUAACGGGGUGGUGGUUGGCCAGGUGCUGCCAUCUUAUCAGCCAUCCUUCCCAGGGCUGAGACCUGCCCGUGGAUCUCCAAGUGUUACCUCAGGAAGCAGCAGAAGAAAUCAGGCUCCCGACAGGUCAGGACGCUUGAGAGGGCGGCACUUGGACAGCCUGGUGGCCUUCCUCGUGGCCACUUGGAUUCUCCUCCUGCAUCUGAAGUGCGACAGUGAAAGCUGCCACUAGAACUCCAGGCACUGAGGGUCACUGGAGGAAGACAGUGGCUGGAGGUGAGGUCUCCCCGUUGGAAGGUGAAUGGUGACAUCCACGGGUGAUUUGUUGAACAGCUAAUAAGGAUGGAUUCAGCGUACAACCCUCCAACGUGGUGCCACGUGCACAUGCGUGUGGCAGCCUGCGGGGCUGCCGAGGUAACGCCAUGGUCCCUCUGUAGUCAGUGAGACUGAAUCUGGUCUUUAAUGAAUUGUGGCACAAAAAAUCUUCUGUGAUAGCCCUAACCGAAGACUUCUUAAUAUAUUGAAAUGCCCCUUUUUAUUAAGCAAAAUGCCUUUUUAUUUUGAUGCACAGAAUGGAAUUUUUUGCUUCAUGUCUCAGAUUUAUAUUAUUUUUUUAAACUCUCGACAUUUACUUCCUUUGUGUAUUUUAAAUCACGUACAUGUGCUCUUUGUAUAGUUGUAAAAUUUUAAUAAAAAUCAACAUAUUU